rnacentral:snRNA from 1 species
CUCGCUUCUCGGCCUUUUGGCUAAGAUCAAAGUGUAGUAUCUGUUCUUAGCAAAAAUGAAUAAAUAAAUUAUAUAUAAUUUGAAAAGUAAAACAUAUUAGACAAUUU